CCUACGGGGCGCAGCAGUAGGGAAUAUUGCUCAAUGGGGGAAACCCUGAAGCAGCAACGCCGCGUGGAGGAUGAAGGUUUUAGGAUUGUAAACUCCUUUUGUAAGAGAGGAUUAUGACGGUAUCUUACGAAUAAGCACCGGCUAACUCCGUGCCAGCAGCCGCGGUAAUACGGAGGAUGCGAGCGUUAUCCGGAUUUAUUGGGUUUAAAGGGUGCGUAGGCGGGACGGUAAGUCAGCGGUAAAAAUGCGGAGCUCAACUCCGUCGAGCCGUUGAAACUGCCGUUCUUGAGUGAGCGAGAAGUAUG
rnacentral:rRNA from 1 species